GCCGAAGGGAAACCGAGUCUUAACCGGGCGUUAAGUUGCAGGGUAUAGACCCGAAACCCGGUGAUCUAGCCAUGGGCAGGUUGAAGGUUGGGUAACACUAACUGGAGGACCGAACCGACUAAUGUUGAAAAAUUAGCGGAUGACUUGUGGCUGGGGGUGAAAGGCCAAUCAAACCGGGAGAUAGCUGGUUCUCCCCGAAAGCUAUUUAGGUAGCGCCUCGUGAAUUCAUCUCCGGGGGUAGAGCACUGUUUCGGCAAGGGGGUCAUCCCGACUUACCAACCCGAUGCAAACUGCGAAUACCGGAGAAUGUUAUCACGGGAGACACACGGCGGGUGCUAACGUCCGUCGUGAAGAGGGAAACAACCCAGACCGCCAGCUAAGGUCCCAAAGUCAUGGUUAAGUGGGAAACGAUGUGGGAAGGCCCAGACAGCCAGGAUGUUGGCUUAGAAGCAGCCAUCAUUUAAAGAAAGCGUAAUAGCUCACUGGUCGAGUCGGCCUGCGCGGAAGAUGUAACGGGGCUAAACCAUGCACCGAAGCUGCGGCAGCGACACUGUGUGUUGUUGGGUAGGGGAGCGUUCUGUAAGCCUGUGAAGGUGUGCUGUGAGGCAUGCUGGAGGUAUCAGAAGUGCGAAUGCUGACAUAAGUAACGAUAAAGCGGGUGAAAAGCCCGCUCGCCGGAAGACCAAGGGUUCCUGUCCAACGUUAAUCGGGGCAGGGUGAGUCGACCCCUAAGGCGAGGCCGAAAGGCGUAGUCGAUGGGAAACAGGUUAAUAUUCCUGUACUUGGUGUUACUGCGAAGGGGGGACGGAGAAGGCUAUGUUGGCCGGGCGACGGUUGUCCCGGUUUAAGCGUGUAGGCUGGUUUUCCAGGCAAAUCCGGAAAAUCAAGGCUGAGGCGUGAUGACGAGGCACUACGGUGCUGAAGCAACAAAUGCCCUGCUUCCAGGAAAAGCCUCUAAGCAUCAGGUAACAUCAAAUCGUACCCCAAACCGACACAGGUGGUCAGGUAGAGAAUACCAAGGCGCUUGAGAGAACUCGGGUGAAGGAACUAGGCAAAAUGGUGCCGUAACUUCGGGAGAAGGCACGCUGAUAUGUAGGUGAAGUCCCUCGCGGAUGGAGCUGAAAUCAGUCGAAGAUACCAGCUGGCUGCAACUGUUUAUUAAAAACACAGCACUGUGCAAACACGAAAGUGGACGUAUACGGUGUGACGCCUGCCCGGUGCCGGAAGGUUAAUUGAUGGGGUCAGCGCAAGCGAAGCUCUUGAUCGAAGCCCCGGUAAACGGCGGCCGUAACUAUAACGGUCCUAAGGUAGCGAAAUUCCUUGUCGGGUAAGUUCCGACCUGCACGAAUGGCGUAAUGAUGGCCAGGCUGUCUCCACCCGAGACUCAGUGAAAUUGAACUCGCUGUGAAGAUGCAGUGUACCCGCGGCAAGACGGAAAGACCCCGUGAACCUUUACUAUAGCUUGACACUGAACAUUGAGCCUUGAUGUGUAGGAUAGGUGGGAGGCUUUGAAGUGUGGACGCCAGUCUGCAUGGAGCCGACCUUGAAAUACCACCCUUUAAUGUUUGAUGUUCUAACGUGGACCCGUGAUCCGGGUUGCGGACAGUGUCUGGUGGGUAGUUUGACUGGGGCGGUCUCCUCCUAAAGAGUAACGGAGGAGCACGAAGGUUGGCUAAUCCUGGUCGGACAUCAGGAGGUUAGUGCAAUGGCAUAAGCCAGCUUGACUGCGAGCGUGACGGCGCGAGCAGGUGCGAAAGCAGGUCAUAGUGAUCCGGUGGUUCUGAAUGGAAGGGCCAUCGCUCAACGGAUAAAAGGUACUCCGGGGAUAACAGGCUGAUACCGCCCAAGAGUUCAUAUCGACGGCGGUGUUUGGCACCUCGAUGUCGGCUCAUCACAUCCUGGGGCUGAAGUAGGUCCCAAGGGUAUGGCUGUUCGCCAUUUAAAGUGGUACGCGAGCUGGGUUUAGAACGUCGUGAGACAGUUCGGUCCCUAUCUGCCGUGGGCGCUGGAGAACUGAGGGGGGCUGCUCCUAGUACGAGAGGACCGGAGUGGACGCAUCACUGGUGUUCGGGUUGUCAUGCCAAUGGCACUGCCCGGUAGCUAAAUGCGGAAGAGAUAAGUGCUGAAAGCAUCUAAGCACGAAACUUGCCCCGAGAUGAGUUCUCCCUGACCCUUUAAGGGUCCUGAAGGAACGUUGAAGACGACGACGUUGAUAGGCCGGGUGUGUAAGCGCAGCGAUGCGUUGAGCUAACCGGUACUAAUGAACCGUGAGGCUUAACCUUACAACGCCGAAGGUGUUU
rnacentral:rRNA from 1 species